UUAUAAACCGAACCGACAUCUAAGUAUUUUGGUUUGAAUUAAGUUAAAGAUACAAAACCGAUCGGCAAAUUUAAAUGCAUUUGGUUCUCGGUUAUUUCGGUUCGGUUUAAUAAAAUGACCGGUUAACCGAACUUAAAAAAAACACAUUUGUUCACCUGUGUAAACCUAAUUUUCAUUACCCCUUCUAUUCUCACGCAGUCUUCUUCUUCGCCCUAUCUCUUCCCAUCUCCUUAUCCACCUCAUCUCGUGCUUUGUAUUCUUCUGUUGCUUCAUCUUCUUCUCUAGUUCUAUCAACACAUCAAAUUUCUAAUUCAAUCUCCUACUCCGCUUUUUUUUUUGUGCUUCGUCUUCUUCUUUUUGUUUGUUUGCAAAGUUAACAACCUAACUCGUAUGGAUUUGAGGUACUUAACAAAAUUUUGGUGUGGAUUUUGAUUUCGGGAUGUUGGUAUUGAUUUUGGUUGUGGAAGUUCGGCAACAAGAUUUACGAACCGAAAUAACCGGUUCCGAACCGAACCGUAGUUUUGUUCGGUUUAAUCCGGUAGCUACUUCUGAUUCCGAAAUAACUGUAGAACCGUAAUACCCGAACCGCAGUAACCGAUGAAACCGAACUCGCAGCCCUAACAACCAUAAACAUGGAGACUGAUUACUAUCAUAAUAAUUAUUUUGAUUGUGAAUUUGUGCAUAAAUGUUUUAGGUUACAAAAUCAAAUGACUUUCCACUAGAUACCAUUAAAUCACAUCACCAUCAUAAUUGUAGGAGAUUUUUUUUUAUUUUGUUAUUUUAACUUGUCAACAAUUAAAAAAAAUAACUUAAAUCAAAAGAUUAACCAUUUGAUCAACUGGUCAAUUUACCAAAUCCGAAGUUCAAAGCCUUAGGUUCGAUACGGAUAUCUUCUCUUCACAAUAUCUUAUACAAUAAAACAGGAUAUGCUCUCUCCUCAUUAAGCCACGUCCUCAAAGAGGGUGGGGCAUUUGCCGACACGUGUUAUCGUUUUACACUCUCUACAAUUUUCCUUCUGUUUGUUCCGGAAAUGAUUGUUUGUGGGCUGGGCGGGUUUUUAUUUAAAUUAAUAGGUAAGGCCCAAAAUUUAGCCCGUUUACAGAGCCGAACGGAAUUAUGGUUGCUCGUCGUCUUCCUCUUUCACGUGUGGCCGCAACGAUGUGAUUCACCAACUGAAAGCGUCGAUUCCAAACUCUGUAACGUCUCCCCGCUCCUUAAAUCAUCUCUUUACUCUGAGUUUUUCUUAAUUAAUCCAUUAUGCCCACAUGAGUCAAUCAAUAUACCUUUUCGUUUUCCCAGUAACUGGUUGAAGUUUCACUUAUAAAUGUCUCUUCUUUCUUCGAUGUUGAGUUCAAUUCAAACUAUUUCCAAAAGCAAAUAUUUUCAUAGCAAGGAUAUGACCACUUCUUACAUGCUCCUUGCUGAUGUGAGAGUCGGGCGAUGCUCCAACACGGCAACACCGCCGAGGUCCGUUUGUUGAGGUUUUGGAAGGCGAGAAACAUCAACAAAGGCCGGGAACUGAUGAGCCUCGAUAUGUCGCUCUUAAACGAAACAGGCAGUUUUGAGAGAUGGCAUCGAAGUUGCUACAGAUGAAGUCAAAGGCCUGUGAAGCAUCAAAGUUUGUGUCCAAACACGGCACUACUUACUACAAAUAGUUUCUGGAGAAGAACAGGCAGUAUAUCCAGGAGGCAGCUACUGUUGAGAAAUGACAAGAGUUGUCUAAGCAGCUUCCCUACACUCGUCUUGCGAGGUCCUUUUUCUUAACUCUCUUAUCUGAUUCUGGAUUCGGUUUGAUGUGUUUGUUAAAUUAUAAUUGCGUCGCGUGCGUAAGCAUUGUUUUUAACAGCUUUCUUCUUGCAGUAAAGAUUAAAGCUUUUCUGUUUCUGUAUGUUGUUUGUAGCAAAGGGUAAAUAUGGUCUGUCCUAUGGCAGACUCCUUAUAUAUGUAGAAAUGUGUUUUUGAUGUGGCGUUUAGGAACCUGUGAGGUGGGCAAAUAAACCUCCAAAGAUCACAGAGAGUAGAGUUAGCAUCAGUUCAGACAUCAGCUCAGACAUGUGCUCAAGUUUUCUGUUUCCUCAAAUCAUAAAUUCUUCACCAUUUUGAGGAUAUUUGACCGGAACCAGCGUCCACCAAUUCUAAACUUUGCUAAUUAAAGAUGAGGUGAUAACAAUGCACAAGAUGACAUGCCUGGAGCAGGAGAAGUGACUACUAAGCCUUACAAAACUGUGAAAAAAGUUCCCCCUGCAUCAAUCGCUGGAUUCGCUGCUUGUGGAGAUACAAAUGAAAUGCAACUUGUGAAGAAGCAAAGUUGCAGGGGGAUAGAGGAAAAAGCCACGUACUUCUAAGCUUUCUAGCUAGCGAGUGGCCAAGUCUACAUGAUUUUAUCUUCUUGGAAUAAGUUUAGAGUUUCAUUGUUUCCUUGAAUCUUUUCGUUGCUGGUUUUUUUUAACAUUGUGAUUUGGUGGCUUGCUCACUAUGUUUCCUGUUGGGUCAAUUCAUUUGAAAGUAAACUCAGAGUUUGAUAGUUGUCUGCAUGUACUUUUAAUUUGUUAUAUAUGAACUCGACCUCACUUGCAACC